GUGAAAGUGAAAGUCAGUCUCCAUUUUGUGUGGAGGGGAAAAUACAGCAUUUCAGGAGUAAAAACACAGGUUUGAUUUAACACACCGAUGUUGGAGUGAAGUAAACGUGUGUCCUGCUGUAAUCUGGAGAAGGAGACAUGACCUCCAACAUGAGUGUGUCUGGAGAACAGGACUUAAAGAAAGACGAGAGAAUGAUGAAGAGAAAGAGAUCAGACUCACCAGAACCCAGCUGUGUGUCCAUGAAGAGUGACUGGUCAAUGAAUAUUCCAUUUAACUUCAGAGACGGAGCCAGUUCUCCUGAUGUGAGACCACAACAGAAGAAAUCAAACCUCAGCAGAAAUCAGUUGGACUCCAUAUUCAAGGAGCUGGAACACAAAGUCAUCACUCUGAUAAAGAAUGAGCUGAAGAGGUUUAGGAAGCUCCUGAGUCCAGAUUACCCAGCAUGCACUGAGAGGGAGGUGCAGGAUGAGGAGGAUCUGCACAGUGUCAGAGACGGAGCGCUGAAGAUCACACUGCACGUCCUGAAGAACAUGAACCACACAGAUCUCGCUAACACACUGCACAACAAGUCUGUGGCCUCUGUGUAUCAGACAAAUCUGAAAUCCAGCCUGAGAGAGAAGUUUAGAAGAAUUAAUGAAGGAAUCUCACAGCAUGGAAGCUCAGCACUUCUGAAUGAGAUCUACACAGAGCUCUACAUCACAGAGGGUUGGAGUGGAGACGUCAAUAGUGAACAUGAGGUGAGACAGAUUGAGACAGCGUCCAGGAGACCAGCAACACAGGAGACACCCAUCAAAUGUAAUGAUCUCUUUAAAGACAAGUCCAUCAGAAGAGUGCUGGCUAAAGGAGUUGCUGGAAUUGGGAAAACAGUCUCUGUGCAGAAGUUCAUUCUGGACUGGACUGAAGGAAAAGCAAAUCAGGACGUCACCUUCAUGUUUCCACUUCCCUUUAGAGAGCUGAAUCUGAUGAAGCAGAAACAUCUCAGUCUGAUGGAGCUUCUUCAUCACUUUUUCCCUGAAAUGAGAAAACUACAGUUAAUAGACUCCUACAAAGUGCUGUUGAUCUUUGAUGGUCUGGAUGAGUGUCCACUUCCUCUAAAUUUCCAGAAGAAUGAGAGAUUGUGUGAUGUGACAGAGUCAGCCUCAGUGGAUGUGCUGCUGACGAACCUCAUCAAGGGGAAUCUGCUUCCCUCUGCUCUCCUCUGGAUCACCUCUCGACCAGGAGCAGCCAAUCAGAUCCCUCCUGAGUGUGUAGACCAGGUAACAGAGGUACGAGGGUUCAGUGAUCCUCAGAAAGAGGAGUACUUCAGGAAGAGGAUCAGUGAUCAGAGCCUGGCCAAUAAAAUCAUCUCACACAUGAAGUCUUCAAGAAGCCUCUACAUCAUGUGCCACAUCCCAGUCUUCUGCUGGAUCUCAGCCACUGUUCUAGAGAGAAUGUUGGGUGAAGCAGAGAGUGGACAGAUCCCCAAGACUCUGACUCAAAUGUUCACACACUUCCUGAUCUUUCAGAUCAAACACAAGGACCAAAAGUACCAUCAGAAAUGUGACCCUGAUCCUCAGCAGACCAGAGCGAGUAUCCUGGCACUGGGAAAACUGGCUUUCCAACAGCUGGAGAAAGGAAACCUGAUCUUCUAUGAGGGAGACCUGAGAGAGUGUGGCAUUGAUGUGAGAGAAGCGUCAGUGUACUCAGGAGUGUGUACCCAAAUCUUCAGAGAGGAGUUUGGGCUUCACCUGGGGAAGGUGUUCAGCUUUGUACAUCUGAGUGUUCAGGAGUUUCUGGCUGCUUUAUAUGCAUUUUUCUGCUUUAUUUUUAGAAAGACAAAUGUGUUAGUGGAACAAAGCACUGGACAUUUUAAUCUCUUCAGAAAGUCAGACAUGUCUGAUCUCCCCAGGAGCGCAGUGAACAAGGCCUUACAGAGUGAGAACGGACACCUGGACCUGUUCCUCCGCUUCCUUCUGGGUCUCUCACUGGAGUCCAAUCAGACUCUCUUACGAGGCUUAAUGCCCCAGACAGGAAGCAGCUCUCACAGCAAACAGGAAACAGUCGAGUACAUCAAGGAGAAGAUCAGGGAGAAUCCAUCUCCAGAGAAAUCCAUCAAUCUGUUCCACUGUCUGAAUGAACUGAAUGAUCAUUCUCUAGUGCAGGAAGUACAGACUUACCUGAACAGAGGAGGUCUCAGUCGUCUCAGGGGAUCCAGACUCUCUCCUGCUCAGUGGUCAGCUCUGGUGUUUGUGUUACUGAACUCAGAUCAGGAGCUGGAUGUGUUUGAUUUGAGGAAAUAUGACCCAUCAGAGGAAUGUCUUCUGAAGCUGCUGCCAGUGGUCAAAGCCUCCAGAAGAGCUGAUGUCCAAAGCCCAGGCUGACCCCCCACCCCUUCAACCUUUGCAGCAAUGCUGGCAGCACUCAUACAUCUAUUUCCCAAAGACAACCUCUGGAUAUGAUGCUGAGCAUGUGCACUCAACUUCUUUGGUCGACCAUGGCGAGGCCUGUUCUGAGUGGAACCUGUCCUGUUAAACCACUGUAUGGUCUUGGCCACCGUGCUGCAGCUCGUUGUCAGGGUCUUGUGUCCAAAGCCCGUGGUGGUGGCAGUGCAUGGCGUGUGUGGGGGAGCAGGUCUGUUGGGAGUGUUAAGUACCAUCUCAUACACUCAGCAAACAAUAUGGAUGGAACUUUCCAGAGUUGUGGUGUCACUUUCCUGCAAAGCUUUAACCAUCAGAGAGUUAUCUUUUACUGGGGCUUUUAGCUGCGGGAGACUGAAUUACUAACAGUUUCUUUGUGGAUCUGAUUUCUUCUUUCGCAGGAGUGGAUCUAAUCACAGCCUGUGAUAUUCGUCUGUGCACACAGGAUGCCUGGUUUCAGGUGAAGGUAUGAGGAACAUUAACUUGCCAUACAUUGCUUGCUUACAUGUUUACACCAAGAUCUGUAAACAAGUUAUUUUUGUCCAUAUGAUCAUGUGUAGAGAUAGUAAGUGAUGAGAAGAUAAGAAUGGGCUGAUUGUUCUGACUCGUACAAGCCCCUAUGAAAGAGUUGACCACAAGGGGGCACACUCUGAACAAUUAUUUACAUUUGCAGUUUGUUGAAGAUUAAAUAAACCACAGUGAGCAUCAGAUGUCUGGUUUUAAUACAAAGUGGACUAUUUUAUGAUAUUACCAUCUUGUCAUUUAUCAAAGAAGAGCUCCAAAACCUGAAAUUUGUACAUUUUUAGACAGAAAAAUUCUGCAGUGUAGCUGUUCUAGUGGGCUUUCACACUGGAAGUUUAGUCCAAAACAGAGCAGUUUGCAUGAAAAGUUGGUAAUGUGACUGUCGUAAUGUGGACUGGGAAGGGCACUGCGGUACCGAACCCGAGACUACCUGUAGAAGGUGGUCCGAGUUCGGUUACACUGGAACUGUGAAUGUGAAUUGUCCCAUGAAUGUGAACGCAACUUGUAUCCGGGUCCGCACUUGUUCAGGAAGUAGAGUAACCUGUGCUGAAGGCCUGUUGUGGUGAUGAUGUGUCAUGACACGUUUUGGCCCAAAUCUGCAGUAACUUUGAAAAAGUGGAAGCUCCUCUGAAUAUUGCGGAGUUUCUUGAUUUUGUGUUAAUUUCUGUGAUCACAAAAUGGUGAAAUUCUGGACUGACGAUGGAAGAUAUGGAAUGAUAACAGAAGAAUGUGACUUUGGGUUGUACCGUGUAUUUUUUUCAUGUAGCUUCAUUAUUUAGUAUAAAUGAAGGCAAGUGUGUGUUCUGUUCUUCAUCUCUGCAGUCGUGUGUUCCCUGAUGGUCAAUGAUUGCUGGAGCUCUGGAAAUAGCAGGUGAGAUUGCAGGCCGGAGUCGCGUCGCUGUCCAGGGAACCAAAAUCAACCUCCUCUACUCCUGAGACCACAGUGUAACUGAGAGCCUAGACUACAUGGUAAGAAUCUGCUUAAGACAUGAAUAGCAUUUUUAGCCUCAAGGCUACUUGGAACAUGAACAUGUUGCAGACACAGGAUCUUAUGAAGUCAGCGCAGGCAGCCCCGGAAAAGAAGAGUCCGAAAGACGUGCCCUUCUCCAAGCUUUAAAGGAGAAGAUCCAGGGCUGUUGAAGCUGCGGUGGAACUGAGACUUCAUCAUCCACAUAUCUUUAGUUCUUCUUGCUAAGUCUGAGUUUCUUUUUAGUCUUUUUAUUUUUAGACUGGUCAAAAGACUGAUUAGUGGAAGUGAAAUGAUAGAUGAACUUUUAAUUACUUGCUUUAUUAUUUGCAGGUGCCUUGUACAGUAAGACAGGGUAACUAAUACUCAAAAGCUUGUUUUGUGUGUUAACAUGUACAGUAGUUUUUUCUGGUGCUGUGUGACUGCAGAAUGUAGUGCAGUUAACACAGUAAAUUUCCUUGGAUGCUCACUUUUAACUCGAGGAGGUCACAGUUUGCCCAGACAUCUUUUUUUAAAUCCGUCAAUCCGUCACCCACACGUCAUUCUGGGGGACGAAGAGGAGGAAGCUGGACAGAUAAAUUUAUUUAUUUAUUUAUUUAUCAUUGCUGUGUUUCCUCAAUCCAGUGCAGAAAGAAGAAAAACACAACUGAUUUAAAAUAAAAAUAUAGAAAAUAAUCUAAUGUAAGGUUCUGAUCCGGUUUGCUUUCAGCAGGAAGGCUGUCCUCUUUCCUGUUGCUCUUUCUCUUCUAUUAGUCCAUUUGUCGAGUCUGAAUCGGUUUGAUUGUUUGAUUCGUUUCGAGAUGAUUCGGAGUCGAAUAAUUUUCUAGUGAGAGUCGCACACUUCCAAAUGAACUAGACUGAGAUGUGUAUUUGAUUCUCACUAGAAAGUGAUUCGACUCGAAAUGAAUCAGUCAAACUGAUUCAGACUCUAUAAAAGGACUAUGAGAUGUGAUUAAGAUAUAUAUUCCAAUGUUUUGCUUUACAAUUCCACUGUAUGUGUGUGUGUGUGUGUGUGUGUGCGCGCACGUGUGUUUUUCAGGACUCGGACACAAGAAUACAUCCUGACCAUUGGUACUGUGUACACAUCAACAUACACACACGUCUCCAUGCUGGACAUCUCAAUAGCUUUCACACACAGUGCUAGGAAUAUCCCGGGACAGAGAAACGCACCUCCUAAGUGAGCGAGUUUAGCGUCAACCGGUGAAAUUUGCUGUAGCGUGAACACUUCGCCUCUGUGAGCUUCACUCUCCGUCAGGUUCACUGUAAUUAGACAUAAAAUGUACAUAAUGUUUAUUUUUCAUACAUUUAGGAUUUAAUGGUUUUUUUUUUUUUACUCUUCGAGGAACAGAAAUGAUCUUUCGAGGCAGCUUCUUCAUCGCUACCUGCUCCGUUUGACUCAAAAAUGUAACGACCGGUUUCAAAAAGUCACGAUGUCUUCAGUUCAUGUGAUUUUACUGUUGAAUUUAAACAGGAAAUGUGAAAUAUUUUUUUCCUUUGUUUCCUCUACUGUCUUUUUGCUGUGAUCUUGAACAUGGUUGUAAUUUUAUUUAAUUUUUUUUAAAUAAAUAAAUGAUCAUUCUAUUCUUUCUCACUUUCCUUGUCCUAAUUGUCCUGUAUCUGUUAAAUCCGUUUCAUCUCUGGUCUUUCUGUCUGUAUGAACACUUGUAGAAAUGACUUGUAGUCCAUAUUUUUAAAUGAUUCGUGAUUUUGAAUUUAAAUAAAGAUAUUCUUUAAUUCUGUAUUUUGUCAUUUAAUUAUCAUUAGAAAUCAGAAGAUCAGAUUAAAGCCACGGCUUCUUUACCUGCCGAAGCUGUAAAACUUUCAAUAAACCAGUCAAUAGAUCAGCUGGAUAAAUGUAGAUUUUUAUUUACUGAUUAGAUGUAUUGAUGGUGUUGAUAGAUUAUUUGAAGAUUUUUAUUGAUCUUGAACAAUCAUUCAGUUAAAUAUUGAAAAAACUUGAUAAAUAGUUGAUUAAAUAAAUGUAGUGUAAUGUACUGAGUCAAAUAUGAAAACUACAAAUAAAUAAAAUAUAUUUAUAUCUGUGUAUAAUUAAAAACCUCACUUAAUACAAGAAAUUCAUAUCCUAAAUGUUGCACGUGAUUAAUCUGAUCAUUUUAUUCACCUGUUUAAUUAUUACUUUCUAAAUAAUAAACAAAUGAAUGUUCUGGAUUCAUGAGGAAUGUUUACAUUUUGUGUCCAAACUCAAAAGUUUAAACAAAGUGUGUAUUUAUGAUAA